rnacentral:lncRNA from 1 species
CAUAAAUUUUUUUAGUUUAUCCUUGUCAUGGAAAGUUUUUAUUUUUUUCAUCAAUUUUGAAAGAGAGCUUUGCUGGACACAGAAAUCUUGGCAGGCAACUGUUUUCUUUUAGAUAAUGGAAUAUUUCAUUCCAGGCCCUCUUUGAUUUUAGGAUCUUGGUUGAAAAGGCUAAAGUGAGUCUUGUCGGUUUGCCUCUAAGUGACCUUACAUUUUUCUCUUGCAGCUUUUAAUAUUUUUUUCUUAUUUUCUAUGUUAGGCAUUUUGAUCAUGAGUUUCUGUUCUGAUCCUGACCUUUUCUGCCACUGAUCUCAAUUUGGUGUCCAGUUUGUCUUCUGUAUGUGAAUGUCUAUCUCAUUUCUAAUAUAGGGGAAAAUUUCUGUUACUAUCUCAUUGAAGAUGCUUUCAAUGCCUUUAGCAUAUAUAUUUAUGCUCUCUUUUAUCCUAGUAAUUCUCAGGUUUGUUCUCUUGAUGCUGUUUCAGAGUUUUUGUCUAUUCUGUUCAUGGUCUUUUAUUUAUUUUUUCCUUUAUUACGUACUGAGUGUUUGAGAUUAUAUACCCUGUCCCCAAGGUCUGAAGUUUUAUUUUCUAUGCAACCUAAUUCAUGAUGAUUUUACAUAAAUUUUUAAUUUGAUUCAUUGUGUCUUCAAUUUCUGGAUGUUCUGAUUGGUUUCUUUUCACUAUUUCCAUUUCUUAUUGAAAUGGUCUUUCAUUUUCUGUUUUUAAUCGCUUAAUUCAUUCCUUAUAUAUUCUUUUAGUUCAUUGAACAUUUUAACAAUCAGUUUUUUAAUAGUCUUUCUCUGGAAUUUCAUCCAUUUUCAUGUCCCUGGGGUCCUUUGCCAGGGACUGUGAAUUUGGGAAGCGAUUUGUUUGCCUCUUUCUUUAUGUUUUCACAGAUCUUGGAUUUCUGCAUCAGUUGAGAUGUAUUCCCCUUCCUCUUUUAUAUAUGUCAUUUUGUGUGUAGUUAUCCUUUUUUUUUCCCCCCCCUGGGACUUAUGUCUCAUGUAUGAGUAGAUUUCUAGGAGUAGAAUUUGAGGUUUCCCUCUUGUUUUUCCUUGGGGGGCCUGGUUGUUGGUUUGUUUUUUUUCCUCCCU